GGAAACCAUUGUAACCUUGUAGCGGCCAUUAAUUUUGGAUCUUGAUCUGGAGUCUGCGAGUACCAAGAUGGCCCACGUCAGCAUUGCUGUGAGGCUUUUGGCUUUCGUCGCACAACCUUGCAAACGUCUCCCGGGGAGCCCAGGGGCAAGAUUGAAGCCUCCGUGCCAAGAAAUGGCGCCGUUGCCAAAGCAGGAAAGCCACGCACUCUGCCUCGCCGCCUGCGCCUGCCUGGUCCCUCCUUCCAUCCGUCAUCCCACUCCCGCGCGCUUCAGUGUAAUAGUUUGGUAAAUUUUUAUUGUGCAUGGAGAGUGUUCGACAAAAUGCAUGAGGGAGUAUUUAAGUUUGCUUGGAUAGAAUGAUGAUCCAGAUGCUCUUUUGUUUCUUCCCAUUUAGGAAUUGUCCCACUGUACAAAUAUAUGCCCUCACACCAUGAAAUGACACUAUUUUCUCUUCUGUCUUCAA